UUAGAAAACAGGGUUUCAUGACCCCAUUGCUGGGUGGAAUCAUUUGCUCGGACAGCUUGCAGAACUCAGAAAAACAGGUUGUUUUUUUUUUUUUCUGAGAUACAGGGUCUCAGUCUAUUGCCAGACUGGAAUGCAGUGGUGUGAUCAAAGCUCACUGUAGCAUGGGACUCCUGGGCUCAAGUGAUCCUCCCACCUCAGCCUCCCAAAUAGCUGAGACUACAGGCCCGCACCAGCAUAUCUGGCUAAGUUUUUUUAUUUUUUGUAGAGAAGGGGUCUUGUUAUGUUGCCCAGGCUGGUCUCAAAUUUCUGGGCUCACAUGAUCCUCCCACCUCAACUUCACAAAAUGCUGGGAUUAUGGGUGUGAGCCACUGCAUCUCACCAAUUUACUUUCUUUUACUGGUUCAUUUUAAAGGCUAUAUCUCAGAAACAGCCGGUGAAAGAGAUGUACAUGCUGGGCACAGUGGCUCAUGCCUGUAAUUUCAGCUCUUUGGGAGACUGAGGCGGGAGCAUCGCUUAAGUGCUCAGGAGAUUAAGACCAGCCUGGGUAACACGGUGAAAACGCAUCUCUACAAAAAGGUUUUUCUAAAAAUUAGCCAGGUGCAGUGAUCUAUAGUUCUAGCUACUCAGUGCCUAUAAUUCUAGUUACUCAGGAGGCUGAGGUGAGAGGAUGAGAGAUGGGGCUUGAGCUAGGGAGGCAUAGGUCGCAGUGAGCCACGAUUGUGCCACGGCACUCUAGGCUGGGGGACAGAGCCAGACCCUGUUUCAAAAAAAAAAAAAAAACCACAGGGCAAGGUGUGUCGGGAGGUCGGGAGGGCUGCAGAACUUCCAUGCUCUCUAUUGCGCGUGUUACCUUCCUGCUAUCUCCCUUGUGUUCAGCAACCCAGGCAUUCUCCAAAUCUGGUUGUUGAGGUCAUUUAUGAAGGCUUCUUUAAGCAGGCAUGAUAGAUGAAAUCAUUGACUAUUGGUGAUUAAGUCAGUCUUCGGCCACUAUUUCUUCGUGGAGCCCAGUGGGUGAGGCUGACAGUUCCAAGCCUCUAAUCACAUGGUUUGUUCUUCUGGCAACCAGCCCUUUUUCUUAAGCUGUCUAGGAGCUUUCAGUCACCCAGUCAAAUCAGUAACAUCACCAAAUGCAUUCUUACUAUGGUGAUCCCAAAGGUCUUAGAGGCUCUUGUGUUAGAAACCUGGGACUAAGACCAAAUAUUCAAACAAAAGAUGCUCCUAUCACCUUUAUCACCAAGGCCUUUAUAAGAACUUGAGAAGCUCUGUGCCAGGACGAGGGGCAGAAACCAAAUGUGUAUUUCUUUUCUUUUUCUUUUGAACACAAGUGUCUCUGUUUCACCCAAUCUGGAGUGCAAUGAUGCAGUCGUAGCUAACUGCAGCCUCAACCACCUGGGCUCAAGCAAUUCUCCCGCCUCAGCCUUCCAAGCAUCUGGGACUACAGGUGCACACCAUCCAUGCCCAGCUGAUUUUUGUAUUUUUUUGUAGAGAUGGGAUCUUGUUAUAUUGCCGAGGCUGGUCUUGAACUCUGGGGCUAAAGCAAUCCUUUCACCACAGCCUCUCAAGUAGCUGAAACUACAGAUGCAUACCACCAUGCCCAGCUAAUUUUCUCUUAUUUCUUUUUGUUGUUUAAUUGAGGGGGGGGGUCUCACUGUGUUUCCCAGGCUGGUCCCGAACUUCUGGCCUCAAGCAUUUCUCCUGCUUUGACCUCCUAAACUGUUGGGAUUAUGGUUGUGAGCCCCGGCCUCUGUGUCCAGCAAUCACAAGAGGUCUUUAUAAGUGAAAGAGGGAGGUAAGAGAGUCAGAAUUGAAGGAGAUUUGAUGAUGGAAGCACAGGUCACAGAGGGAGAUUUGAAUAUGCUUUGCUUCUGGCUUUGAAGAUGCAUUUAGGGGCCAUGAGGCAAAGAAUAGGGGUGGCUUUUGGAACUGGGAAAGGCAAGGGAACACCUUCUCUCUGGAACCUCCAGAAGGGAUGCAGUCCUGCUGACACCUUGACUUUAGCCUUAAUAGACCUAUUUUGGACUUCUGGCCCCCAGACCUGUUAGGUAGUAGAUUUGUGGUGUAUUAAGCCACUCAACGUAAGGUAGUUUGUAACAGCAGCAAGAAGAAAUGAACAUGAAGCCAGGGGUAGUGGCCCACACCUAUAAUUCCAGCUAUUUAGGAGGCUGAGGCAGGAUGGUUGCUCUGGCCCAGGAGUUCAAGAUAAGCCUGGGCAACAAAGUGAUACCCUGUCUACAUGGGAAAAAAAAAUUAGCGGGUGUAGUGGCAUGCACUUGUAGUCUUAGCUACUAGAGGCGCUGAGGCAGGACGAUUUCUUGACCUAGGAGUUCCAGGUCUCAGUGUGUUGUGAUCGUGCCAUGGUGCCCCAGCCUGAGUGACACAGCGAGAUUAUAUCUUAAAAAAAAAGUAAAAAGAAAUGAGUGAGCAUGGCAGGAAUGGGGACACAUAGCAAUAUUAAAUAGAGUGGUCAGGGUUGGCCUCCUAAGUGAAAAUUGAGCAAAGACUUGAAGGAGGGGAAGGAGCUGGCCAAGGUACUGAGGGAAGAGCAUUAUAGGCAGAAACAACAGAAUAAAGAUGCUAAGAGGGAACUCCGUGGUGUGUCUGAAGCUCAGGAAAGAGGAUUGUCGAGCAGAGAGGGGGAGAGAAGGUAGGGGAGGAGGCCAGGGAGUUGUGGGACUCAGAUCAGUACAGAUUGUGCAAGCCCUGGGAGGCUAUUGCUGGGGCUUUGGCUUUUAUGCUGUCUGAGAUGGGACAUGCGGAAGGGUUCUGAGCAGAGAGGUGACACGAACUGUCUAUUGAUUUAAAAGCAUCCCAUGGUGGCUGAGUUGAGAAAGAUUGUGGGAAGAUUUGGGUAGAAGCACGGAGGCCAAGCUGUGGCAACAUCCAGGUGGGAGAUGAUAGUGGUUCUGACCAGGGUCCUGGCAAUGGUGAGAGAUGGUUGAUUCUUGUUGAGAUACUAAGUAAUUAAAAAAAAGAAACACUACUGCUUUUCCUGAUUAUAUGAAGUAUGGGAUGCUAGAUUAAAGACAUCUUAAGUCGGGCCAGGUGCAGUGGCUUAUGCCUGUGGCGUCAGCACUUUGGGAGGCACAGAUGGCACAGAUGGGAGAAUUGUUCAAGUCCAGGAGUCUGAGACCACCCUGGGCAACAUAGCAAGACCUCCUGUCUAUGCAAAUAAAAAUUAAUAAAAUAUAAUUAUCAUGGGAUAGUGGUAUUUUCCUGUAGAACCAGUUACUCUGGUUGUCGAGAUGGGCAGAUCUCUUGAGGGUGGGAGUUUGAGGCCACCUUGGGCAACAUAGCAAGGCUCCUCUUUCUACAAAAAAAAAAAAAUUAUCUGGGUGUUGUGGUCCCAAUGAGGGACAGCAUUCCUGAGACUUUUUAAGUACUUCGUGUGAUGGUCUAAUAAUCAUAGCCUUAAAACUUUCUGGCUGGGCAUGGUGGCU
rnacentral:lncRNA from 1 species